rnacentral:misc_RNA from 1 species
UAAUAAGUGUUUUAUGGCACUUUUUAAAUCCAUAUCCACCUUGUGUGCAAUGUCAGUCGAUCUUCUUCAUGGAGAUCGACCAAACAUCAACCUUUAUCUUUUAACUCUUUGUCUGGAAAAUAUUAUGAACAAACAAUUCAAAAUA